rnacentral:rRNA from 1 species
AGCUACAGGCUUAACACAUGCAAGUCGAGGGGCAGCAUGGUCUUAGCUCGCUAAGGCCGAUGGCGACCGGCGCACGGGUGAGUAACACGUAUCCAACCUGCCGUCUACUCUUGGACAGCCUUCUGAAAGGAAGAUUAAUACAAGAUGGCAUCAUGAGUCCGCAUGUUCACAUGAUUAAAGGUAUUCCGGUAGACGAUGGGGAUGCGUUCCAUUAGAUAGUAGGCGGGGUAACGGCCCACCUAGUCUUCGAUGGAUAGGGGUUCUGAGAGGAAGGUCCCCCACAUUGGAACUGAGACACGGUCCAAACUCCUACGGGAGGCAGCAGUGAGGAAUAUUGGUCAAUGGGCGAGAGCCUGAACCAGCCAAGUAGCGUGAAGGAUGACUGCCCUAUGGGUUGUAAACUUCUUUUAUAAAGGAAUAAAGUCGGGUAUGGAUACCCGUUUGCAUGUACUUUAUGAAUAAGGAUCGGCUAACUCCGUGCCAGCAGCCGCGGUAAUACGGAGGAUCCGAGCGUUAUCCGGAUUUAUUGGGUUUAAAGGGAGCGUAGAUGGAUGUUUAAGUCAGUUGUGAAAGUUUGCGGCUCAACCGUAAAAUUGCAGUUGAUACUGGAUAUCUUGAGUGCAGUUGAGGCAGGCGGAAUUCGUGGUGUAGCGGUGAAAUGCUUAGAUAUCACGAAGAACUCCGAUUGCGAAGGCAGCCUGCUAAGCUGCAACUGACAUUGAGGCUCGAAAGUGUGGGUAUCAAACAGGAUUAGAUACCCUGGUAGUCCACACGGUAAACGAUGAAUACUCGCUGUUUGCGAUAUACUGCAAGCGGCCAAGCGAAAGCGUUAAGUAUUCCACCUGGGGAGUACGCCGGCAACGGUGAAACUCAAAGGAAUUGACGGGGGCCCGCACAAGCGGAGGAACAUGUGGUUUAAUUCGAUGAUACGCGAGGAACCUUACCCGGGCUUAAAUUGCAGAUGAAUUACGGUGAAAGCCGUAAGCCGCAAGGCAUCUGUGAAGGUGCUGCAUGGUUGUCGUCAGCUCGUGCCGUGAGGUGUCGGCUUAAGUGCCAUAACGAGCGCAACCCUUGUUGUCAGUUACUAACAGGUUCCGCUGAGGACUCUGACAAGACUGCCAUCGUAAGAUGUGAGGAAGGUGGGGAUGACGUCAAAUCAGCACGGCCCUUACGUCCGGGGCUACACACGUGUUACAAUGGGGGGUACAGAGGGCCGCUACCACGCGAGUGGAUGCCAAUCCCCAAAACCUCUCUCAGUUCGGACUGGAGUCUGCAACCCGACUCCACGAAGCUGGAUUCGCUAGUAAUCGCGCAUCAGCCACGGCGCGGUGAAUACGUUCCCGGGCCUUGUACACACCGCCCGUCAAGCCAUGGGAGCCGGGGGUACCUGAAGUGCGUAACCGCGAGGAGCGCCCUAGGGUAAAACUGGUGACUGGGGCUAAGUCAUAAC